GAUGAAGAACGUAGCGAAAUGCGAUAAGUAGUGUGAAUUGCAGAAUUCCGUGAAUCAUCGAAUCUUUGAACGCACAUUGCGCCUUCUGGUAUUCCGGAAGGCAUGCCUGUUCGAGAGUCAUUAACAACCGUUUCGAUCCCUUUCUUUCAGAAAUUACAAAGAGGAAAAGGGUUUGGUUAUGGUGGAGGAGGGAAAGGGAGCGUUUAGCCUGUAAAAAAAGAGGCUGUGUUCCGCCUCCCCCCCAAAAUAGUACAGGCGGUCGUGUGCGCCCACGCAUCGAGGUGUUGUAAAAGCUGCCACGGCACUUUUCACCUGUGAAGUGCGAGAUUGGCCAGCCGGUUUAAAAACCCCUCCAAACAAUCAAAGGUUGACCUCGGAUCAGGUAGGGAUACCCGCUGAACUUAAGCAUAUCAAUAAGCGGAGGA
rnacentral:misc_RNA from 1 species